UUUACUUCAUUUAGAAAAGAUUUACAUUUACUUCUUCUUUCUUACUGAAAUCCCAGAAGGACGACAUUAAUUCUCAGCUUCAGGUGUGUUGGGCUUAUCCAAUUAGUGAAUAUUUCUGACUCCUGUGAGUGUCUGCUUGUGAAAUAGGUUUAUUUCCUUCUUGUCUCUGCGAUUGCAAAUAGGCAGUGCCCUGGGUGUGUGAGGCACUGGCGCUUCCUCACCCGGCAGAUGGAUUCUGCACAUCUGGAUGAUGGGCAGUAUCCUGCAGGCUCAGCAUUUAGUUGGGGUCAGAUGAAAGGGUAUUUUCACAUCCUCCUCUGUGCCAAACAACUUCUCUCAGGUGCACUAGCCAGUUAGUGAGAUUACCACGUGCAUGUUCCUUCAGUAAAAAAGAGCUAAACCUUUUUACUUGGAUAAAGGAGACAGCAGAGACAGGAUUUGUUAGCCCUUGGUCUAUUUCAAACAUUACCUGCGUUAUUUAUGCAAAUAUAUGAGAUCACAAAGCUCUGUUGAAACUAUUUACAGAAACAGAUCUUGAGAAAUGCACCUUAGCAGAGAACAGGAGAGAAAGUUUAGGACAGAAAACAUUAGGAUGACUCUUCAAGGAAUAAAUUUGAAUGACCAAAAGAAGAUUCUGGACAGGAGAAAACAUGAAUCAAGUGAAUCAAGUGCUGAUAAGAACCAAGGGCCUUGACAUGCUAGACAAGAGUUCUACCAUUUAGGUACACUGACAUCCUCUAACAUAUUCCUGAAUACUCAUACCCUGUUAGGACAGAUGAUCCUGCUUGUAGCUAGAAAAGACUGCAUAGUAGUUAAAAUGUAUCUGGUGUGGAAGCCACUGCAUUCCUUAGGAAUACAAGGCAUAAAAAUCAAUAUAUUUUUAAAUAUUCAAGCCUAGUGCUAAAAAUCUCACA